UACGUAGGGGGCGAGCGUUGUCCGGAAUUACUGGGCGUAAAGAGCUUGUAGGCGGUUUGUCGCGUCGUCUUUGAAAACUCACAGCUCAACUGUGAGCUUGCAGGCGAUACGGGCAGACUUGAGUACUGCAGGGGAGACUGGAAUUCCUGGUGUAGCGGUGAAAUGCGCAGAUAUCAGGAGGAACACCGGUGGCGAAGGCGGGUCUCUGGGCAGUAACUGACGCUGAGAAGCGAAAGCGUGGGUAGCCAACAGG
rnacentral:rRNA from 1 species